rnacentral:tRNA from 1 species
GGGCGCGUGGUGAAAUGGCAGACACGCUGGAUUUAGGUUCCAGUUCCGAAAGGAGUGGGGGUUCAAGUCCCCCCGCGCCCACCA